AAGGUGAUGACCACAGGCAUACCCUCUUCCACCCCCGCGCCUUCGCCCUCUUCCACUGCCUCCCCCCGUGUCGCCGCCCUCUUCCUCGGGCAGCUCUCGUGGCUUCCAGGUCCAGCUGUUCGAUCCUAAAGCAACAGAGUAAAUAUCGACUAUACUUAAUUACCAUUAUAGAGAUUCUCUCCUACAAAUUCAUAUGAAACAUAGUGUGUAUAGAAGCAACACGUACAGGUCAACUCCAUAUAUUUGAAUGAACACAUGCAAAGUAUUCCACGGCCUUCUAUAUGAAAUUUAGACCAUUUUUGCUGCCAAGGUUAUAGAGCAUUACUUGUCCUGUUUCUGGCACAAAACAAUUUAUGACUUCAAAAAAAAGAAAUAAACUGAAUUCUUGCAGCUGAACACCGCGAAAUAAAAUGCAGUAAUGCCUUGUCUCAUUCACUGAGUACUAUAGUUGAACAAAUUACAUGUGAACCUCACAGAAAUAACAAUGCACUGUAAAGGACAUGAGAAACUUGAGGCCUAGAUUGGGUUCAGCUCACCUUCUAGCACAUGACGAACUCAUCUGGACAACAAUACACCUAACUUGAAUUACUUUUUAUUCUUCCCACACUUUGGGUGCCUGUAAUCAAAGCACACGCCCAAGAAAAUUCUAUAUGAAAACAUUGCAAAAAGGCUAUGGUACAGGUUAGCAAGUAAUCCUAUGCAUAACUGAGGGAAUUACAGAAAAACAGAUUCAGAAAAAGGGAAGUGAAUGUGCAAACCUCAUUCAGGUUGCUCUCCUCGCCGAGUUGCUUCAAAGUAGGAGGAACAGCUCGGCAAGAUUAUGGAGGAAGAGGUUUCCAAUCCUCACGCUCCUGUAGCCCACGUCCUCAUCGAUGAUACGAAGAGGAGAGACGAGCUGCUCUUUCCGCCGACGUCAUCUCUCUCUACUCAGUGCCACCGCCGCCUUCGCCGCCAUCUCUCUUUUACCAGCGCUGCCAUCCCCAUCUCUCUCUGCCCAACAUCGCGGGCUGGAAAACUGAAAGAAACGAUUCACAAAAGGGAAAAUUUUGUUUUUGCCACUCUUGAUUUUGCCAAUUUUCAUUAUGCCACUCUAGGUUUUGACAUUUCACUUUUGCCACUCUUAGUUCUUGACAAUUAUCUGAAUUGCCAUUCCGGUGGCAAAAGCAAAAAAUUUGGAGUGGCAAUUGUCAUACAUUUCAAAAGCUAAGAGUGGCAAAAAUGAAAUAAAAUUAUUCUGCUUUUGCCACGAAAUGGCAAUUGUGAUAAUUGUCAAAAACUAAGAGUGGCAAAAAUGAAAUGUCAAAAUCUAGAGUGGCAUAAGGAAAAUCGGCAAAAUCUAGAGUAGCAAAAACAAAAUUUUCCCUUCACAAAAUGUACAAACUUUAUUCUACACACUGCUGCAAGCUAUGAAAAACAGAAUAUCCUCAGGUGCAGGUUGUUCAAAACAACUUCAAUUGGUUGCACCUUAGUCAUAUCAAAGCUUAUUUGAAAGAAUAACAUCAAAGAGUCCUCUCACCAAGUGCCCAGGCAAUGGGAAGCACAUGGAAAAACCAUUGAUGCUCCUUUCCGUAGAAGAAAUAAGUGAAUGGACAAUCUUCUCAUCUCUAUAUAUUCUCUCGUACAAUCCAGCUUGCAAAACAGGUGCAAGGAACAGACUGUUGCGUAAUAAUAUUAGCAAACUUUAACCAUGAACAGUUUUCCUUCCCAUAACCAUAAGCAAUGGAUCUUCAUAACCCACAUGAUAAAAUCCAACAAAUCAUUGAUUCCCUUCCCCGUACCUAGUGAAAAAUAAAUAAAGACAUAAACCUGUAGCAUCAAGUGAAGCAGCAUUUGUGACUGUUACAACAGAACAGAUAUGUACAUGAUCAAAUAACAAAAAGACAUUUUGAUACUUCUCAACCGAUACCCCUAUAUUCUCAUAAAGUAGGUGAUACAUACAAGAUAUGUCUAAUACGUUCAAUGGUAGGGAAUUGGAUAAUUAAAAAGAAUAACUCCAGUCAUCUUUACUUGUAGUGACAACCAUAUUUUAACAAUUUGUCCCAGGAAACAGUUUGAGCUUUUAAACUGGCAGUCAACUUACUAUCAACGGGAAACACCACGCUGCACUAUAUUUUUGUAAAUAGUUUACAGAAGAUCUGACAACUCUGAAAUCCUGAGCAGUAUCUAUGCAUGUUUUAGCAUGGUACUAAGCACAAAUUGUUACCAGCUGUAAAUAUAGCAUACUAAUACAUAUAGUUGAACAAUCACUAUAUCAUAGGACCCUCUCAUCUUUCCUCUCCCUUUCUCCAUCGUGGGCGGGGGCGGCGGCGGCGGCGCAUGAGGAAUGAGGGUAGGGUCACGGGGUGGGCUAGGUCUCUCUGUCUCGCUGCCCGCUCGCCUUCACCUACCCUCUUGAACUAGCCGCCAUCAUCGAGCAGCGACGGGAGCACACCCACAUCCGCCGGCCCACCAACCCCUGCUGCGCCUCCACCACGAGCCCGCUCACAUCUGCCGGUCCACCAAUCCCUGCUGCGGAGGGUUGGAGGCGCGGAUCUUGGGGAGCUCGGGGGCGUGCGGUGGCCAGAGCUUGCCGGAACCGGCCGGCGUGGGUGAGGGUUUUCUCCUUCCUAGCAGUUCUUGAGGGUUUAUAUGUUAACAUGAUUGCGUCUAAACACAAUAGCUAUUCGCUACAGGAAAAGGAAUCCCAUAUUCAUGCAAUCCCUUGUUCAAAAGGAUAUAAAGAGCCAAUGAACUUCCAUUGUGGUUAACAACUUCUAUUUAUUUAUGGUCCAACAUUGUAACCAACAACCUAAAGCACUGAGCCACUGCACCUUUCAUUUGCAUUUUCACAUAGAAUUAUUUAUCUAUCCAACAUCUAAACUCAAAGAACAUAUGCUUGACUGACACAACUGAGCAAUAACAACAGACUGUAACAGAAUGGAGAGGCAAGUAGACAACCACACGGACCUUCAAAUGCUUGAUCAGGGGCUCUAAAAACCCUAGGAACUCAAUCCCAUCGAGCACCUUGAAGACGUAUUCAGCAUUGAUCUUAUGUAUCUUUCCGUCCUUGCAAACAUGUCGUAGGUCUUCCCUGCAAAUAAGAUCACACUCAUGUUACUAUCAUCAUCCGAUAAACAUCACAUCAUGGGGAGAAGCCUAAUAUUAUGAUCUUGGACGUCUUCCCCUCGACCAAAGAAUAGAGCAAUUAGCUAAAGACCUCAACGAUGCAGAUCCUAAACCAGCAGGCUAACUAAUGCGAAUAAAUUAAGUACCGCUAUUUUCUCCCCCUAAGAAACCCCAAAUAUUUCACACAAGCAUCAAAUUCGCCAACCAGAUUACCAAAAAAACUGCAUCAAAUCAAUAAGGAUUACUCCCAAAAACAUAGCAAAAACAGGGAUGAGGAAGAACAAGGAGAUGCAAGGCAGGAGGCACGUCCGUGGCGGAGAAGUAGUGGAUGAAGAUGAGGACGCUCU
rnacentral:lncRNA from 1 species